AUUGAACGCUGGCGGCAGGCCUAACACAUGCAAGUCGAACGAGUGGCGGACGGGUGAGUAAUGUCUGGGAAACUGCCUGAUGGAGGGGGAUAACUACUGGAAACGGUAGCUAAUACCGCAUACCAUCGGAUGUGCCCAGAUGGGAUUAGCUAGUAGGUGGGGUAAAGGCUCACCUAGGCGACGAUCCCUAGCUGGUCUGAGAGGAUGACCAUCCACACUGGAACGGAGACACGGUCCCGACUCCGACUAUGAGCAUCAGGUAUAAAUAUUGCACAAUGGGCGCAAGCCUGAGUCAGCCAUGCCGCGUGUAUGAAGAAGGCCUUCGGGUUGUAAAGUACUUUCAGCGGGGAGGCGUUACCCUCAGAAGAAGCACCGGCUAACUCCGUGCCAGCAGCCGCGGUAAGUC
rnacentral:rRNA from 1 species